AUCUGUUUAGUAUAUCAGUAUUUUUGACUUCCAAUCAAAAGGUUUGGGAGUCCCAAAACAGAUA
rnacentral:tRNA from 1 species